GAUACCUAAAAAUUAAAAAACAGAAUGUCAGGGUUAAUGUUGUGAAUCGGACAUCUAUCCGGGUUGAAAAAUCUAGGGUAAGAGCAUUGAAUUGGUAAGAGACUACAGUACUAAUCUGUGGUAUCGGUAAACGUAGUCGGUAUACUUUGCUUAUAGAAAGAGAAAAUAGAUGCCCAACGGAAUUGGCUGUGUUACGCCACUGCUUAGCAUUUCAAAAUAAGGAUGAGACCUCUAGCGGCAGUAAAAAGGAACUUAAAAGUCUGAGUAACUUUAUGGUGCUUUAUGAAAUUUAUUUAUUAUUAAGUGUUUUUGUAAUGACGUCCAAAUCAAAAGUAUUUUGUUGUGUUAACGGUUGCAAUUCAACCCCCAGAAGAAAUCCCGAUUUAAGUUUUCACACCUUCCCCAAAGACAACAAAAAUAAGGUUAAGAUGGAAAAUAAUAAGUUUGGUGAAGUUGAAUUAAUGGACCGGAAAACAGCAUGGAUAAAACAGUUAAAAUUGGGGAGGAAAGUCUCUGAAUAUAUGGUUGUUUGUAGUAAACAUUUCAAGUCAGAAAAUUAUUUUCUAUCUGAGUACAUUACAAAGAACAGAAUUUUGAAAAAAGAUAGUGUACCUUCAUUGUUCUUGCCUAAAUCCCCUGAAAGGGGAAUAUUAAUAAAUAAGGGCCCGAAAAAGGAAGAAGCAAUUAAAAGCCAAAAGCGAUGUCUUCAAAGAGAAUCAGAAGAUGUUCAUAGGGAAGUUGCAAAUAUUUUAUUGGAAUUAAGCAAGACUCCAAGAGAAGCAGAUAUAUCACCAUUGAUAGAAAUUUAAAAUGUUUUGUAAUUAUUAUUGUACAAUUUUAUACUACGAGUAAAAAAUAAAAGGAGAGAACCUUGCAUUAAAAGGGGACUUGACGGAAAUGGACAAAAAGGAAGUGAUAAAAGUGCGAGAAAAGUGGGGAGCAACGCGUCAUUAUUGGCAGUGCUGUAAUAAAACAAAACUGACAUCGUCUCUUCUGUUUUAUGAUAAGUCAAGUCGACAUAACUGACCAGCGCA